GGUUGAAGUUCAGGUAACACUGAAUGGAGGACCGAACCGACUUACGUUGAAAAGUGAGCGGAUGAACUGAGGGUAGCGGAGAAAUUCCAAUCGAACCUGGAGAUAGCUGGUUCUCUCCGAAAUAGCUUUAGGGCUAGCCUCAAGUGAUGAUUAUUGGAGGUAGAGCACUGUUUGGACGAGGGGCCCCUCUCGGGUUACCGAAUUCAGACAAACUCCGAAUGCCAAUUAAUUUAACUUGGGAGUCAGAACAUGGGUGAUAAGGUCCGUGUUCGAAAGGGAAACAGCCCAGACCACCAGCUAAGGUCCCAAAAUAUAUGUUAAGUGGAAAAGGAUGUGGCGUUGCCCAGACAACUAGGAUGUUGGCUUAGAAGCAGCCAUCAUUUAAAGAGUGCGUAAUAGCUCACUAGUCGAGUGACACUGCGCCGAAAAUGUACCGGGGCUAAACAUAUUACCGAAGCUGUGGAUUGUCCUUUGGACAAUGGUAGGAGAGCGUUCUAAGGGCGUUGAAGCAUGAUCGUAAGGACAUGUGGAGCGCUUAGAAGUGAGAAUGCCGGUGUGAGUAGCGAAAGACGGGUGAGAAUCCCGUCCACCGAUUGACUAAGGUUUCCAGAGGAAGGCUCGUCCGCUCUGGGUUAGUCGGGUCCUAAGCUGAGGCCGACAGGCGUAGGCGAUGGAUAACAGGUUGAUAUUCCUGUACCACCUAUAAUCGUUUUAAUCGAUGGGGGGACGCAGUAGGAUAGGCGAAGCGUGCGAUUGGAUUGCACGUCUAAGCAGUAAGGCUGAGUAUUAGGCAAAUCCGGUACUCGUUAAGGCUGAGCUGUGAUGGGGAGAAGACAUUGUGUCUUCGAGUCGUUGAUUUCACACUGCCGAGAAAAGCCUCUAGAUAGAAAAUAGGUGCCCGUACCGCAAACCGACACAGGUAGUCAAGAUGAGAAUUCUAAGGUGAGCGAGCGAACUCUCGUUAAGGAACUCGGCAAAAUGACCCCGUAACUUCGGGAGAAGGGGUGCUCUUUAGGGUUAACGCCCAGAAGAGCCGCAGUGAAUAGGCCCAAGCGACUGUUUAUCAAAAACACAGGUCUCUGCUAAACCGUAAGGUGAUGUAUAGGGGCUGACGCCUGCCCGGUGCUGGAAGGUUAAGAGGAGUGGUUAGCUUCUGCGAAGCUACGAAUCGAAGCCCCAGUAAACGGCGGCCGUAACUAUAACGGUCCUAAGGUAGCGAAAUUCCUUGUCGGGUAAGUUCCGACCCGCACGAAAGGCGUAACGAUUUGGGCACUGUCUCAACGAGAGACUCGGUGAAAUCAUAGUACCUGUGAAGAUGCAGGUUACCCGCGACAGGACGGAAAGACCCCGUGGAGCUUUACUGUAGCCUGAUAUUGAAAUUCGGCACAGCUUGUACAGGAUAGGUAGGAGCCUUUGAAACGU
rnacentral:rRNA from 1 species